rnacentral:rRNA from 1 species
UUCUAUAUAAAUAAUUUAUAGUAAAAUCUGCUCAAUGAUAUAUUUAAAUAGCCGCAAUAUCGUGCUAAGGUAGCAUAAUCAUUCGUCUUUUAAUUAAAGACUAGGAUAAAAGAUUUAACAUUUUAAUUUAUUUCUUAAUUUUAAUAAUAAAAUUAUCUUAAAUGUAAAAAGACAUUUAUUUAAAAGAAAGACGAUAAGACCCUAUCGAACUUUACUUUAGUUUAACUGGGGCAGUUAAUAAAUUAUAAUUUUUAUUAAUUUAUUUAAAUAAAAGACCCAAUUAAAUUGAUUUAAUAAAUAAGUUACCGUAGGGAUAACAGCAUAAUAAAUUUUUAAAGAUCUUAUUUUUAAAACAGUUUAUGACCUCGAUGUUGAAUAAUUACUUAAUUAACGCAAUAGUUAAUUAAAGAAGUCUGUUCGACUUUUAAACAAUUACA